ACGGGAUAACCCCGGGAAACUGAGGAUAAACCCCGAUAGAUCAUUAUGCCUGGAACGGUUUAUGGUCCAAAUGAUUCGUCGCCGUAGGAUGGGACUGCGGCCUAUCAGCUUGUUGGUGAGGUAAUGGCCCACCAAGGCUAUUACAGGUACGGGCUCUGAGAGGAGAAGCCCGGAGAUGGGUACUGAGACACGGACCCAGGCCCUAUGGGGCGCAGCAGGCGAGAAAACUUUGCAAUGUGCGCAAGCACGACAAGGUUAAUCCGAGUGUUUCCUGCUAAAGGAAUCUUUUGCUAGUCCUAAAAACACUAGCGAAUAAGGGGUGGGCAAGUUCUGGUGUCAGCCGCCGCGGUAAAACCAGCACCUCAAGUGGUCAGGAGGAUUAUUGGGCCUAAAGCAUCCGUAGCCUGCUCUGUAAGUUUCCGGUUAAAUCCAUUAGCUCAACUAAUGGGCCGCCGGAAAAACUGCAAAGCUAGGGAGUGGGAGAGGUAGACGGUACUCGGUAGGAAGGGGUAAAAUCCUAUGAUCUAUUGAUGACCACCUGUGGCGAAGGCGGUCUACCAGAACACGUUCGACGGUGAGGGAUGAAAGCUGGGGGAGCAAACCGGAUUAGAUACCCGGGUAGUCCCAGCUGUAAACGAUGCAGACUCGGUGAUGCUCUGGCUUGUGGCCAGUGCAGUGCCGCAGGGAAGCCGUUAAGUUUGCCGCCUGGGAAGUACGUACGCAAGUAUGAAACUUAAAGGAAUUGGCGGGGGAGCACCACAAGGGGUGAAGCCUGCGGUUCAAUUGGAGUCAACGCCGGG
rnacentral:rRNA from 1 species